rnacentral:rRNA from 1 species
UACGUAGGGCGCAAGCGUUAUCCGGAAUUAUUGGGCGUAAAGAGCUCGUAGGCGGUUUGUCGCGUCUGCCGUGAAAGUCCGGGGCUCAACUCCGGAUCUGCGGUGGGUACGGGCAGACUAGAGUGAUGUAGGGGAGACUGGAAUUCCUGGUGUAGCGGUGAAAUGCGCAGAUAUCAGGAAGAACACCAGCGGCGAAGGCGGCACUCUGGGCCGGAACUGACGCUGAGGAGCGAAAGCGUGGGUAGCAAACAGG